rnacentral:rRNA from 1 species
UACGAAGGGGGGCUAGCGUUGUUCGGAAUUACUGGGCGUAAAGGGCGCGUAGGCGGCCAUUCAAGUUAGAUGUGAAAAGCCCUGGGCUCAACCUAGGAAUUGCAUUUGAUACUGUUUGGCUUGAGUUCGGGAGAGGUGAGUGGAAUUCCCAGUGUAGAGGUGAAAUUCGUAGAUAUUGGGAAGAACACCAGUGGCGAAGGCGGCUCACUGGACCGACACUGACGCUGAGGCGCGAAAGCGUGGGGAGCAAACAGG